rnacentral:misc_RNA from 1 species
GGCCGACGAUGAAACCCAGAUCGUUUCUCGCCGCAUCCAACGCCUUUCCUUCCACCUCAUCCCAAUUCCUCGCCCUCUUUACGAGUCCCACCAACUGGGGAUGGUAGCGUGCGCCAGGGCCAAGUUGGAGGUGGAUACAGAGAAACUGUCCUUUUACAUGAGAGGCAAUCACAGGGAGAUACAGGAGAAGGUGUAUACGUACUUCAACUCGAGGCCGGAGUUGCAGACCCCAGUGGAGAUUUCCAAAGAUGAGCACAGGGAGCUUUGCUGGCGGCAGUUAUUUGGUUUGAUCAGAGAGGCUGGGAUUAGGCCUUUUAGGUAUGUGGUGGAGGAUCCUGCUAAGUAUUUUGCCAUUGCCGAGGCUGUUGGGGCCG